UACGUAGGGUGCAAGCGUUGUCCGGAAUUAUUGGGCGUAAAGAGCUCGUAGGCGGUCUGUCACGUCGGCUGUGAAAACCCGAGGCUCAACCUCGGGCCUGCAGUCGAUACGGGCAAACUAGAGUACUGCAGGGGAGACUGGAAUUCCUGGUGUAGCGGUGAAAUGCGCAGAUAUCAGGAGGAACACCGGUGGCGAAGGCGGAUCUCUGGGCCGAUACUGACGCUGAGGAGCGAAAGCGUGGGGAGCGAACAGG
rnacentral:rRNA from 1 species